GCUAAGUUGGGGCGAGGGGGCGCGGUAAGACGAAGGGAGGGAGGGUUGUUCGGAACAACUGGGCUUAAAGCGUGCGUAGGUGGAUUGGUAAGUAAGGAGUGAAAUCCCAGGGCUUAACCCUGGAACUGCUCUUUAGACUGCCUGUCUGGAAUUCGGAAGAGGUUGGUGGAACUCCCAGUGUAGAGGUGAAAUUCGCAGAUAUUGGGAAGAACACCGGUGGCGAAGGCGACCAACUGGUCCGACAUUGACACUGAGGCACGAAAGCGUGGGUAGCAAACAGGAUUAGAUACCCGUGUAGUC
rnacentral:rRNA from 1 species